UCCGGUAUGGUGUAAUGGCUAACAUUUCGCGCUCUCAUUACUGAGAGGUUUACCUUGAUCCGCGGAGCUCAGGGUUCGAUUCCCUGUACCGGAG
rnacentral:tRNA from 1 species